rnacentral:rRNA from 1 species
UGAGGAAUAUUGGUCAAUGGACGCAAGUCUGAACCAGCCAUGCCGCGUGCAGGAUGACGGUCCUAUGGAUUGUAAACUGCUUUUGUACAGGAAGAAACACUCCUUCGUGAAGGAACUUGACGGUACUGUAAGAAUAAGGAUCGGCUAACUCCGUGCCAGCAGCCGCGGUAAUACGGAGGAUCCAAGCGUUAUCCGGAAUCAUUGGGUUUAAAGGGUCCGUAGGCGGUUUAGUAAGUCAGUGGUGAAAGCCCAUCGCUCAACGGUGGAACGGCCAUUGAUACUGCUAGACUUGAAUUACUAGGAAGUAACUAGAAUAUGUAGUGUAGCGGUGAAAUGCUUAGAGAUUACAUGGAAUACCAAUUGCGAAGGCAGGUUACUACUAGUUUCUUGACGCUGAUGGACGAAAGCGUGGGUAGCGAA